rnacentral:lncRNA from 1 species
AAGAGAGAGCAUGUUGGUGCAUACAAGUUUCUCAAAAGCAAAGUGCAUUUUACUUUUUGCCAUUUCUCAAUUGUUAUUUGUCAUUUGCAUAAACAUUUUUCUUUUCUUUUAGGUCCUCUGCCGUGAGAAUGUCAAUUGUGAGAAUGAGCAUUUAAUUUUUUCUUUUCUUUCUUUAAUUAAACAUUGCAAUCUAAUAGUAUUCAAUUUUACUUCAAAGCAUUUAAUGAUUUAGUAAGCCUUGAAUUUUUUUUAGCAUUUAAUGACCGACCGUUUUCAUUCUGUCUUUGAAACCAUUUUUAAUUUUGUGUUUAAUUAUUAGUUGCAUCUGUGUUUGAUUUUAUUCAUCCGUAUUCACCACAAACAUUUCGUAACCCCCCCCCCCUUUGUGUUUGACUUAAUUCUUGAACCGCAAAAUUGGUCCUUGAGAGACGACCUAGGAGUCACUUCCUAGCUAUACUGCAUUUCUCUU